UGGACCCACUAGAGUGGCAGAAUGCAGGAACGCCUGAUGUGUUUUACAAAAUUCCAACAAGCUCAGCAGUGGAUGCCUCUCAAAUUGUAGACAGAAAUGACUUCAUGCUGGCUGAAAAUGAUGAAGAUAAUGACAGCAGUGAUCAUGACAGCAGUGGUCAUGACACAAAUGACGAAAAUAAUUUCACCACAGAUGAAGAUCUUAAUCUUGCCACAGUCCUCAAAUGUUUCCAGAAACAACACUUCUGCCAAGAUGAAGAGGACAGCC